GCUUCCUCUCCCACCACGCGCAACGGGGCAAAAUAAGAGUUUUCAAAAUCUAAAAUGAAUUCUACAAUCAAUGGGUUUCAUCAGCUGUUGCCAAAUUAGCGAAGACAUUUCUUCUGCAAACAAGUGAAUUGAAAGAUACGGGAGCUGCACGUCUGCGCACCUUUGAGCAGCAGUAUGAUGCAGACAGGAGUCUGUCUGAGACAGGACACUGAGACUACACUACCAGAGCUCACUGAGCAGCACAGGAUCAGACAGAAAGAAGAGGAACACGGUGGACUGAUGAUGGAGGAUACCUUAAGUCUGAAAACAUCAGUGAGGAUAUUAAUUUUGUUCAUCUUAAAUCUGGCCAUACAAGUGUACACGGUGUGAGAAGAGUAUUGUUACCAAUUCUCUUUGAAGUAUUCAUCUGAGGAUUCAUACAGGUAAAAAGCCAUAUAGUAAGCCAUAUAAGCCAUAUAAGUGUUUUCAUGUGAAAUCUUCUUUAAAGAUGCAUUGAGAAGUCAUUCAGACAAAAAGCCCUACAUAUGUUCUCACUGUGGCAAAUGCUUUUCGACCACAAGUCAUUUCAAUAGCCACGAGAAAUUUCAUUCAGGUGAAAAGCCAUACAAGUACAUUCACUGUGCAAAGUGCUUCUUGACAGCAAGCCAUUUAAAUCGCCACCAGAGAAUUCAUUCAGGUGAGAAGGCCUAGAACUGCAGUAAGAUUAUAAAGUUUUAAAAAAAUUUUCAACUUUCAACUUGAGAAUUCGUUCUGGUCUAAAUUCUUUCCAAUGUAACAAAAAUUGUUGACCAAAAAUGAAAUCCUACAGGGGAAUAACCGGACAAAUAUGCUCAUGUAGUGUUUCAUGAAAGCCUCUAUUACAUGGUUAAGUUUGUGUGGGGAGUGUUUCAAAUUUUGAUCAAAUUUAAAAGAAACCUGAUAAUGCAUACAGAAUGUCUUCACACACACAAAUAUAUAUACACCGAUCAGCCACAACAUUACA